rnacentral:rRNA from 1 species
UACGUAGGUGGCAAGCGUUGUCCGGAUUUACUGGGCGUAAAGAGCGCGCAGGCGGUCGUUCAAGUCGCGUGUGAAAGCCCCCGGCUCAACUGGGGAGGGUCACGCGAUACUGAUCGACUCGAAGGCAGGAGAGGGUAGUGGAAUUCCCGGUGUAGUGGUGAAAUGCGUAGAUAUCGGGAGGAACACCAGUGGCGAAGGCGGGUCUCUGGACAGUUCCUGACGCUGAGGCGCGAAGGCCAGGGGAGCAAACGGG